rfam:Schistosoma mansoni strain Puerto Rico chromosome 1, complete genome
AUCCAGCUUAUGGGUCCCAAAUCGGACGAAACGCGCGUCCUGGAU